rnacentral:rRNA from 1 species
AUGGAGAGGGCGUCUUCCUCCUCGACCGCGGCCCCUUGGCCGAGCGAUUCGGGGUGGACGACGACGGGACGCUGCCCCCUCUGCGGCUGGGAGGAGAGCGGGGUCACCGUCGCCCUCAUCUUCGAGCACGCGUCGCGCUGCCGGGAGAGGCGAUUCGAGAUGCUGCAGCGCCAGGCGGAGGAGCGGAUUGCCGACUUCAUCUUUGUUUCUUUUUUGGAUUUAUUCGGCAGGGAUGACAGGCAGUACAGGAGGGAGAACCUGCAGUACAGGCCUAAGAGUAAGCCAUCCUCUGUGUCUGCUUCUGAUGUUGAUCAGAAGUCUGAAGGGAAGGUGGAGCCUGCUGCUGAGGAAAAGCAGGUGGAAAAUGUUCGCAAGGCAAAGGAGGCUGCUGCAAAGGAAGCCAAGCCUCUCAAGGCUAUCAGCAUCCAGGAGUACCUGAAGCCAGAGGAUGGUUCAGAGUACGUGCCUCCUACCCCACCGAGGCGCCCUCAAAAUGGCGGCUACAGGGGAGGCCGUGGCAACGGUGCUUACAAUGGCUGUAGCAACCGUGACAGCAGCUCUGAGUGCCGGGUCUACAAUGCUGGCCGCGGCCAUAACUCCAUCGUGUUCCACAACGCCGAGGCCAAGGCCAACGCCAACGACAGUGGCGCCCCAAGGAGGGGUGAGGGUUACAAUGGCGAGCGCCGGCAAGGCGGCUACCACUUACCAGCAAGGUGGCAGGGUGGGUACUACCAGGAGCGCAGGGAUGCCUGCAAUGGCGACCGCCGGGAGCAAGGCAGGUACAAUGGUGGUGGCCGGGGCAAUGGUGGUUACCAGGAGCACAGGGAUGCCUACAAUGGCAACCGCCAGGAGCAAGGCCGGUACAAUGGUGGCCGGGGCAACGGUUACCAGCAGCACCAGGAUGGCUACAAUGGUUACCGGGGUGGGUACUACAACAGUGGGCGGGGCAAUGGUGGAUACCACCAGGGCGGCAACUACCGGCAGAGGCAAGCUCCCAAGCCAAAGGAGGAGGAUAAAGUGGUGAUCACAGAGGCCGACUUCCCAGCUCUAGGUGGCGCAUCUCAGGCGCAGUCCCAGGCCUAG